rnacentral:rRNA from 1 species
UGGGGAAUAUUGCGCAAUGGGCGAAAGCCUGACGCAGCGACGCCGCGUGAGGGACGAAGGCCUUAGGGUUGUAAACCUCUUUCAGCAGGGACGAAGGGAAACUGACGGUACCUGCAGAAGAAGCACCGGCUAACUACGUGCCAGCAGCCGCGGUAAUACGUAGGGUGCAAGCGUUGUCCGGAUUUAUUGGGCGUAAAGAGCUCGUAGGCGGCUUGUCACGUCGGAUGUGAAAACCCAGGGCUCAACCCUGGGCCUGCAUUCGAUACGGGCAGGCUAGAGGAUGGUAGGGGAGACUGGAAUUCCUGGUGUAGCGGUGAAAUGCGCAGAUAUCAGGAGGAACACCGGUGGCGAAGGCGGGUCUCUGGGCCAAUCCUGACGCUGAGGAGCGAAAGCGUGGGGAGCAAACAGG